UGCCAAAAUUAUACGUGUCCCUGAAAACAUGGUGUAUAUAGUAAACCUAACUAUACCCCUCAAUACACACACAUGCACCCUACAGCUUUUAUACAUCUAAAUAUACUACAUCCCCUAAUACACAAUGCAAACCCAAUUUUUACAACGGAGGUCAGUGGGGGCCACAUGUCUAAGUUUCGCUUAAGGUCUCAUAAAACCGAGAGCCGCCACAGUACGACGCAAAUUGUCCGCCUCCACCACCACCACAGACUUUUCAAAGAGGAAUGACAUUCUUGAUUCGCAGCUUAUUAUAGCACUGCCUGUUUAGCCCAAAGCUUAGAUUCUACAUAAAGAAUGUGCUUUUACUUUUGCCUUAGCCCCUGGCAAUGAAUUCAGACAUUUUAUUGGCCAGGGCCCUUUUAACUUACCUAUUGUGAUUUUUUUCAGUUAUGCACUUGAUUCUGACCCUAUUUGCUUUAUCCCUACAAUUCCUGGAUAAGAAUAGAUUUGAAAAAAACAAAAAAAACAACACAUAUAAAACAUGAAAAAUUUUUCUUCAAACCGUCAGGAAAUAAACAUUUUUAUGUG